rnacentral:rRNA from 1 species
CUACGGGAGGCAGCAGUGAGGAAUAUUGCACAAUGGGGGGAACCCUGAUGCAGCAACGCCGCGUGGAGGAUGACGCAUUUCGGUGUGUAAACUCCUUUUAUAUGUCAAGAAAAUGACGGUAGCAUAUGAAUAAGCGCCGGCUAACUCCGUGCCAGCAGCCGCGGUAAUACGGAGGGCGCAAGCGUUACUCGGAAUCACUGGGCGUAAAGGACGCGUAGGCGGGUUGAAAAGUCAGGUGUGAAAGCCUACAGCUUAACUGUAGAACUGCACUUGAAACUCUCAAUCUAGAGUAUGGGAGGGGCAGAUGGAAUUAGUGGUGUAGGGGUAAAAUCCGUAGAUAUCACUAGGAAAACCUAAAGCGAAGGCGAUCUGCUGGAACAUUACUGACGCUAAGGCGUGAAAGCGUGGGGAGCAACAGGAUUAGAUACCCGAGUAGUC